AGGGUGUGAUCAGAGCAGGGAGCCCGAUCUUUUUACAACAUCCUCUGUUUACAGCACAUCCAAGAGGAACGUGGGGUACUCCUCACGGGGGCAGAACACUCUGACCUUCCUGUGACAUGACACCCUAUAUAU